AGAGUUUGAUCAUGGCUCAGAUUGAACGCUGGCGGCAGGCCUAACACAUGCAAGUCGAACGGUAACAGGAAGCAGCUUGCUGCUUUGCUGACGAGUGGCGGACGGGUGAGUAAUGUCUGGGAAACUGCCUGAUGGAGGGGGAUAACUACUGGAAACGGUAGCUAAUACCGCAUAACGUCGCAAGACCAAAGAGGGGGACCUUCGGGCCUCUUGCCAUCAGAUGUGCCCAGAUGGGAUUAGCUUGUUGGUGGGGUAACGGCUCACCAAGGCGACGAUCCCUAGCUGGUCUGAGAGGAUGACCAGCCACACUGGAACUGAGACACGGUCCAGACUCCUACGGGAGGCAGCAGUGGGGAAUAUUGCACAAUGGGCGCAAGCCUGAUGCAGCCAUGCCGCGUGUAUGAAGAAGGCCUUCGGGUUGUAAAGUACUUUCAGCGGGGAGGAAGGUGUUGUGGUUAAUAACCGCAGCAAUUGACGUUACCCGCAGAAGAAGCACCGGCUAACUCCGUGCCAGCAGCCGCGGUAAUACGGAGGGUGCAAGCGUUAAUCGGAAUUACUGGGCGUAAAGCGCACGCAGGCGGUCUGUUAAGUCAGAUGUGAAAUCCCCGGGCUCAACCUGGGAACUGCAUCUGAUACUGGCAGGCUUGAGUCUCGUAGAGGGGGGUAGAAUUCCAGGUGUAGCGGUGAAAUGCGUAGAGAUCUGGAGGAAUACCGGUGGCGAAGGCGGCCCCCUGGACGAAGACUGACGCUCAGGUGCGAAAGCGUGGGGAGCAAACAGGAUUAGAUACCCUGGUAGUCCACGCCGUAAACGAUGUCGACUUGGAGGUUGUGCCCUUGAGGCGUGGCUUCCGGAGCUAACGCGUUAAGUCGACCGCCUGGGGAGUACGGCCGCAAGGUUAAAACUCAAAUGAAUUGACGGGGGCCCGCACAAGCGGUGGAGCAUGUGGUUUAAUUCGAUGCAACGCGAAGAACCUUACCUGGUCUUGACAUCCACGGAAGUUUUCAGAGAUGAGAAUGUGCCUUCGGGAACCGUGAGACAGGUGCUGCAUGGCUGUCGUCAGCUCGUGUUGUGAAAUGUUGGGUUAAGUCCCGCAACGAGCGCAACCCUUAUCCUUUGUUGCCAGCGGUUAGGCCGGGAACUCAAAGGAGACUGCCAGUGAUAAACUGGAGGAAGGUGGGGAUGACGUCAAGUCAUCAUGGCCCUUACGACCAGGGCUACACACGUGCUACAAUGGCAUAUACAAAGAGAAGCGACCUCGCGAGAGCAAGCGGACCUCAUAAAGUAUGUCGUAGUCCGGAUUGGAGUCUGCAACUCGACUCCAUGAAGUCGGAAUCGCUAGUAAUCGUGGAUCAGAAUGCCACGGUGAAUACGUUCCCGGGCCUUGUACACACCGCCCGUCACACCAUGGGAGUGGGUUGCAAAAGAAGUAGGUAGCUUAACCUUCGGGAGGGCGCUUACCACUUUGUGAUUCAUGACUGGGGUGAAGUCGUAACAAGGUAACCGUAGGGGAACCUGCGGUUGGAUCACCU
rnacentral:rRNA from 1 species